rnacentral:lncRNA from 1 species
AGAUAAGACUCUGUCUACCCUGGGCAGCUUUCCUGAUCCAUGGCAGUCUGGCUUACAAGCAAUACUAGGCUUCUAUUGUCUCUUUCUGUAUAUUUGUAAGAACAUGGCCAGGCAAGAUGGCUUAUGUCUUUAAUCUCAGCUGUUUGGGAAGCCAAGUGGAAAGAUUGCUUGAGGCCAGGAGUUCAAGACCAACCUGGAUAAUGCAGCCCAGUCCCAAAAAAGCACCUGAAGCUUGUUUUAGUUUUCAUUCUUCUUAUGGGAGAAAUUGGGCCUGAUGCUGAAGGAGAACUCUUCUGUCCACUGCAAGUCCACUUACAUGAGCAGCUAAAUAAAUGAAUGGGAUUCUGAAGGACUGUAUGUGGAGAGCAAGGUUAACCAUUUGUGCUUGCUGCAUGAGGGAAUAAGCAACGAUGAGUGUUAGGCUGUUUAUUCAGAUACCCUCACGCCACUGCAGAAGCGAGUAGAGGAAGAAUACAAGGAAAAAAGUGUCUCCCAGCCUGUGGAAAGAGGAUGGCUAUUUCAUCCACUAAAGGUGUACACUUUAAGUGAAUUGGUAUGUCUACAUCAUCCCAGGAGGAGUGAAUGUCUGUGUGUGUGUACCUGAGAUAAGAUGAUGUCUUGUCCAAUGCUGGUUUCCACCUUGUGCCCUGAGCUGUUGGGAGAGGCUCCUGCGACCUGUGACCCUGAAGCAGAAUAAGUGGACUGAAUAAAGGAAUGAUGCGUAUA